rnacentral:rRNA from 1 species
GACGAACGCUGGCGGCGUGCUUAACACAUGCAAGUCGAACGGAAAGGCCCUGCUUUUGUGGGGUGCUCGAGUGGCGAACGGGUGAGUAACACGUGAGUAACCUGCCCUUGACUUUGGGAUAACUUCAGGAAACUGGGGCUAAUACCGGAUAGGAGCUCCUGCUGCAUGGUGGGGGUUGGAAAGUUUCGGCGGUUGGGGAUGGACUCGCGGCUUAUCAGCUUGUUGGUGGGGUAGUGGCUUACCAAGGCUUUGACGGGUAGCCGGCCUGAGAGGGUGACCGGCCACAAUGGGACUGAGAUACGGCCCAGACUCCUGCGGGAGGCAGCAGUGGGGAAUAUUGCACAAUGGGCGGAAGCGUGAUGCAGCAACGCCGCGUGCGGGAUGACGGCCUUCGGGUUGUAAACCGCUUUCGCCUGUGACGAAGCGUGAGUGACGGUAAUGGGUAAAGAAGCACCGGCUAACUACGUG